AGACGAAGGUGGCUAGCGUUAUUCGGAUUUACUGGGCAUAAAGCGCGCGUAGGCGGCUCGAUUAGUCGGUGGUGAAAGCCCGCAGCUCAACUGCGGAACUGCCUUCGAUACUGUCGAGCUUGAGGGCGGGAGGGGUGAUUGGAACUCCAGGUGUAGCGGUGAAAUGCGUAGAUAUCUGGAGGAACACCGGAGGCGAAGGCGAAUCACUGGACCGCAUCUGACGCUGAGGCGCGAAAGCUAGGGUAGCAAACGGGAUUAGAAACCCCAGUAGUCC
rnacentral:rRNA from 1 species